rnacentral:rRNA from 1 species
CCUACGGGGUGCAGCAGUCGAGAAUCAUUCACAAUGGGGGAAACCCUGAUGGUGCGACGCCGCGUGGGGGAAUGAAGGUCUUCGGAUUGUAAACCCCUGUCAUGUGGGAGCAAAUUAAAAAGAUCGUACCACACGAGGAAGAGACGGCUAACUCUGUGCCAGCAGCCGCGGUAAUACAGAGGUCUCAAGCGUUGUUCGGAAUCACUGGGCGUAAAGCGUGCGUAGGCUGUUUCGUAAGUCGUGUGUGAAAGGCGCGGGCUCAACCCGCGGACGGCACAUGAUACUGCGAGACUAGAGUAAUGGAGGGGGAACCGGAAUUCUCGGUGUAGCAGUGAAAUGCGUAGAUAUCGAGAGGAACACUCGUGGCGAAGGCGGGUUCCUGGACAGUAACUGACGCUGAGGCACGAAGGCCAGGGGAGCGAAAGGGAUUAGAUACCCUUGUAGUC